UAUAGAGAUGAGCAUUGCAAGAUUAUGUCCUCCCUCUUCUUCUCCUUCAGAUAGUGCUUCAUCAGUCACAUAAUCUGUUAACCAGGUAUGUGAGCAUAAGCCACACAUCCAAACACACGGAAACACUCAACACUAGGCUUCAUGUUACUCCAAGCUUCUUCAGGAGUAGUAUUGAGAACAGCUGUGGUGGGGCUUCUAUUUAUCACAUAGAUGGACCAAUUUACAGCCUCUGCCCAGAAUUGCUUUGCUGGCCUAUGCUCAGGAGGUUGUUCUUUAAUUCAGUUUCAUGGAAUCCCAGAUGGCCUUUGAAGUCUCCUUGUUGAGUAUAGUUUCAAUGAUGGUUCUGUCAAUGGCUUGAAAUAGUGAUAUGGCUCUGAUACCAUAUGUUGAGAAGAGACAGAGAAUAUGGUUGAAGUAAUAAGAAGAUUUGCAGAGAAGAAUAAUGAAGAGAGGAAUAGAGAAGAGAAACAAUGGGUAAGUGAAUGAUUUCUGAUUCAGUUCCUUUAUUUGCUUGUAAUCGUUGCUAUUUAUACAUGAGCUUAGCUGGGUAUUAUCUAUACAAGAUUCCCGUUGGUUAUAACCAACUGUAACAGAAUACAAUCUUCAACUGCUAUCU